CUACGGGGGGCUGCAGUAAGGAAUAUUGCGCAAUGGAGGCAACUCUGACGCAGCCAUGCCGCGUGCAGGAAGAAGGCCUUAUGGGUCGUAAACUGCUUUUAUUUAGGAAUAAACCCCCGAACGUGUUCGGGGCUGAAGGUACUAGACGAAUAAGCACCGGCUAACUCCGUGGCCAGCAGCCGCGGUAAUACGGAGGGUGCAAGCGUUAUCCGGAUUUAUUGGGUUUAAAGGGUGCGCAGGCGGGCUAUUAAGUCAGUGGUGAAAUCCCGGGGCUCAACUCCGGAACUGCCAUUGAUACUGAUAGUCUUGAGUUUGGUUGAAGUGGGCGGAAUGUAGCAUGUAGCGGUGAAAUGCAUAGAUAUGCUACAGAACACCAAUCGCGAAGGCAGCUCACUAAGCCAAAACUGACGCUCAUGCACGAAAGCGUGGGGAUCAAACAGGAUUAGAUACCCGCGUAGUC
rnacentral:rRNA from 1 species